CUUAGGAGGGGGACAACAGUUGGAAACGACUGCUAAUACCCCAUAUGCCGAGAGGUGAAACAUUAAUGGCCUGAGGAGGAGCUCGCGUCUGAUUAGCUAGUUGGUGGGGUAACGGCCUACCAAGGCGACGAUCAGUAGCUGGUCUGAGAGGAUGAUCAGCCACACUGGGACUGAGACACGGCCCAGACUCCUACGGGAGGCAGCAGUGGGGAAUUUUCCGCAAUGGGCGAAAGCCUGACGGAGCAAGACCGCGUGAGGGAGGAAGGUCUGUGGAUUGUAAACCUCUUUUCUCAGGGAAGAAGAACUGACGGUACCUGAGGAAUCAGCAUCGGCUAACUCCGUGCCAGCAGCCGCGGUAAUACGGAGGAUGCAAGCGUUAUCCGGAAUUAUUGGGCGUAAAGCGUCCGUAGGUGGCUAAGCAAGUCUGCUGUUAAAGAGCGGAGCUAAACUCCGUAAAGGCGGUGGAAACUGCAUAGCUAGAGUGUGGUAGGGGUAGAGGGAAUUCCCAGUGUAGCGGUGAAAUGCGUAGAUAUUGGGAAGAACACCGGUGGCGAAGGCGCUCUACUGGGCCACAACUGACACUGAUGGACGAAAGCUAGGGGAGCGAAUG
rnacentral:rRNA from 1 species